AGAUGGAAGGGCGCGGAGAAGCCAUUUACAUUGACUGAUUGUUAAGUCCCACAUAUUAGAAGCAAAUUAACUUUUAAUUGAGAUAACUAGACAAACGAGUUGCUUAUCAUCAGACGUCGCACACUUGGUCACUGAGAAUCUUGGCAAACAACAAGAAGAGCUUCAGUUAAAAACAAACCAUGGCUAGGUCUUCCUUUAUUGCACUGGUGGCAAAUUAAAGGAAUCUGCCAGUCCA